UACAGAGGGUGCGAGCGUUGUCCGGAAUCACUGGGCGUAAAGGGCGCGUAGGCGGCCUGAUAAGUCGGGGGUGAAAUCCUGUGGCUUAACCACAGGGCUGCCUCCGAGACUGUCGGGCUCGAGCACAGUAGAGGCAGGUGGAAUUCCCGGUGUAGCGGUGGAAUGCGUAGAGAUCGGGAAGAACAUCGGUGGCGAAAGCGACUUCCUGGACCAAUACUGACGCUCAUGUGCGAAAGCGUGGGGAGCAAACAGG
rnacentral:rRNA from 1 species